CGGGGGGCAGCAGUGGGGAAUUUUGGACAAUGGGCGCAAGCCUGAUCCAGCCAUGCCGCGUGCAGGAUGAAGGCCUUCGGGUUGUAAACUGCUUUUGUACGGAACGAAAAGGUUUGGCCUAAUAAGCUGAGCUCAUGACGGUACCGUAAGAAUAAGCACCGGCUAACUACGUGCCAGCAGCCGCGGUAAUACGUAGGGUGCGAGCGUUAAUCGGAAUUACUGGGCGUAAAGCGUGCGCAGGCGGUUAUGUAAGACAGAUGUGAAAUCCCCGGGCUCAACCUGGGAACUGCAUUAGUGACUGCAUAGCUGGAGUACGGCAGAGGGGGAUGGAAUUCCGCGUGUAGCAGUGAAAUGCGUAGAUAUGCGGAGGAACACCGAUGGCGAAGGCAAUCCCCUGGGCCUGUACUGACGCUCAUGCACGAAAGCGUGGGGAGCAAACAGGAUUAGAUACCCGAGU
rnacentral:rRNA from 1 species